rfam:Mycobacterium sp. ACS4331 contig_94, whole genome shotgun sequence.
CAGGUUCCGGUUCACGUUCGAAUUCUCCAGGUCAGGAGCGGGCGACCCGGCGACC